AGAUGGCGACCGGCGCACGGGUGAGUAACACGUAUCCAACCUGCCGAUAACUCGGGGAUAGCCUUUCGAAAGAAAGAUUAAUACCCGAUGGCAUAAUAGAACCGCAUGGUUUGAUUAUUAAAGAAUUUCGGUUAUCGAUGGGGAUGCGUCCCAUUAGGCAGUUGGUGGGGUAACGGCCCACCAAACCUUCGAUGGAUAGGGGUUCUGAGAGGAAGGUCCCCCACAUUGGAACUGAGACACGGUCCAA
rnacentral:rRNA from 1 species